CUGUUGGAAAAACAGGAAGGGGAGUCUGUGAGCUCUUGGGAGUUGACACAGCUGAUGUGGACAUUAUGAUGGGAACUUUCACAAAAUCAUUUGGUUCAUGCGGGGGUUAUAUUGCUGGAUCUAAAGAACUUAUUGAAUAUUUGAAGUAUUCUUGCCCAGCUCAUCUGUAUGCCACAUCAAUAUCGCCUCCAGCUGCCCAACAAAUCAUUUCUGCUAUCAAGGUUAUACUUGGUGAAGAUGGUACUAGUAGAGGAGCUCAGAAGCUGGCUCGCAUUCGUGAAAAUAGCAACUUUUUCCGAUCAGAACUACAGAAGAUGGGUUUUGAGGUCCUUGGGGACAAUGAUUCUCCUGUGAUGCCCAUCAUGAUCUACAAUCCUGCAAAAAUACCUGCCUUUUCACGGGAGUGUCUCAAACAUAAUGUGGCUGUAGUGAUAGUUGGUUUUCCAGCAACCCCUUUACUUUUGGCCAGGGCGCGCAUAUGUAUUUCUGCAGCUCACUCACGGGAAGAUCUUAACAAAGCACUGGAGGUUUUCAGCGAAGUUGGUGAUCUAACUGGAAUAAAAUACUUCCCUGCCGAGCCACAGAAACAGCAGGUAGAAGAAAACAGAGUCAAGCUGGAAUGAGUACUCUGGUUUUUUUUUAGUUCUCCGAAGGAGGUUCUAAGCUGUUAGUUAUUCUUCGUGUAUGAUUUUGAAAUCCUUUGGAUAUGAUGUGUGGAAAUUUUGUUGUUUCCUUGUACAGAAAGUUGUAACUUGUUAAUUCAGAUAGUGUUACGUUUUAUUACCUUAAUGUAAAGCACUGUCCAAUAUUUCUUGAAAGGCUGAUAAACUGUGAAUAGUGGAGAUUUUGUUGGAUUUUGGUUAAAAG
rnacentral:misc_RNA from 1 species